CAAAAGCGAGUUGAAAAACUGCUAAACCCUUGUGAAUAUACCUGUUUAGUUGCUUCGGCGAGCAGCCCCAGGGCGGGGCCGCAGCCUUUUAUAGGUGCUCGCCGAUAGCAUUGAAACUCUAUUUUUACAGUUAUUCUGAGUUAUAAAACAAAUAAGUCA
rnacentral:misc_RNA from 1 species